AGCUAAAUGGUGUAAUAAACACAGUAGGUUGUAAGCCUAAAAAUACACUAGUUUUAGUUU
rnacentral:tRNA from 1 species